AAGAAAAAAAAACAACUCCAAACAUCCAGCGCCCGACUUCCCCCUGGAGUCCGUGUCCACUACAUUCCUAUGUCCUUCCGGCCUGAAAGACCUACUUUCAGCUCCAGUUGGAUGGCAGCGAACCAGUAAGGACCAGACUAGGAAGUAAAAACGUUAUUAAAGCAUAAUGUGGCACAUGUGGAAUAGAUGAAUUCGUGCGUAAAGAAUUCAUCAAGGAUUUUUUUCCUGCUUCGUCACUAUUACCACCCUGACCCCAUUGGCCAUGUUUGCAACAUGUUUCGGGCAGAAACAGACUUUGUUUUCAACUCAAGAGAUGCUCAGGAUAUUUUUCCAGUCAAAAUGGCCUCCCCUCAGACCGCAGCCUGUGGGAAUUUUAAUUUUCCUUUUCUUUCUCUCUCAGAGGGCCUCCGCCCUGAAGAUUGGGCUGCCAACCAGACAUCGCGUUAAUUGGAGACACUGGUGCAGAGAGAGAGAGCGAGAGAGAAUGAGAAGAAACCUUGAAGACAUUAUCUGCAAACCGCCUUCAUUUUCUUUACGUUCCCUCUUUGCUUGAAUAGCAGUGACACACACACACACACACACAAAAAUAUUCUGAGAAAAUCAUUUCAUUAUCUCUUUUUUCACACGCGCUCAUGUUUUUCAAGUUGAAAACAGUUUUCGUGAGAGUUAACGCACAGGAAUUUGGUCUCAUUAAGACUCAAACAAUGGUGGAAAUGAAGUAAUAUACGUGUAGAGUAUAGCCUCGUCACGUGUUCCUGCUCAUUACAUUAGUGGACAAAGAAAAUAAAAGCACCCUUUAAAACGUUUUGGGGGAUUUCACACACAACUCUCAGCUGAUGCGAUUUGGCUAAAUUUACUGAGAGAUAAUUGUGACCAUUUCAAAUGACGUUUAAGGUUUACGAGCUACCAAUAAAAAAGUACCUACAGUCCAAUAAAAGAGCAUUUAUACUCUACUUUUCAAGCACAAGACUUAACUUUUAUUCCCUCAUAAGAAGUCAGUGAACGGACAUAAAGGACGUUUAAUAAGAAAAAUAAUGAGCUGUGAAGAUUUGAAGUAACACAGUCGAAGCUGUCAAAGACAAGACGAGCUGUUGAUUUGAAAUACCGACAUGUGAAUUCCAGGCAGCAAUUUCCUCCCCUUUUUUUCUUCAUGGAGUCUUUAUUUCCACUUAAGGGCCUGGAUUUAGAAAUCAUAAAUUUAGACGGUGUUUUUAAUUACACUGUACGCGCAUCCACGAGGUUUGUGUGUGUGUGUUUUUGAAAGUGAAAUAUUGUCUGCAAAAAAGCGCAGCGAUGUUCGUGGAACAAAAAUAUCCAUAAGAGUAUAAUUAGUGAGGCAUUGUUUUAGACUUGUUGGAGUGCAGAAUAACGCAGAGUUUCUUCAUGAAAAAUUCACUCAUGUUACUUGAAAAAAAUAAAAUAAAACAGCGCCCUAUGACAACAACAACAACAACAACAACAACAAUUAUCGUGUAAAUCUUGGAUCAAAAAGGGUAAUCUUAAUUUCCCUAUGUACGAGCUGUUUUCCAUUAUUGUUUAUAUAUUAAAGGCAACAUUAUUUCCACGAAAUCAACUCCAGUUAAGCAGUGGCUGCUUAAUAACAUACCACGCAAUGCAAUCUGACAGGGUUUCCAAUAUUUUUAUUUGGGAUAAUACAUUCUACAUAUGGGAUUUAAUUACCAAAUAUUACCGGACAUACCGCGUGUUGACAGAUCGUUUAUUUGUUUGUUGUUGUUUUUUUUACUCAGAUGACUUAAACUGUGUUCGCGCCGCCGCGCAUGGCCUAUAAUUAUGCUUCUCUGCAACUGGUAAAACUGUACAAUAGCGAAUUUUAUCUCACGUUUUCAUCGGACGAAUUAUUUUAUUUUCAUCAAUAUCAAUAUAUUUUUGAGAAAAUAAAAAUUGUAAAAUCAAAGUCUGUCAAACUUGAUUAUAAAAACUAUUCUCAUUUUGUGUAAAUACCUUUUUAUUUUAAAUGUCAGCAAUAGAUGUAGACCUAUGGUAUAUUUGAACGUAAACAGUAUAUAACAGGACAUUUCUGGAUCUGUAAUGGUUCUGGAAUAUCAGUGUUACCAUUCCUACAAGGUCUCCAAAUUGUAUAUACUGUACAUCCGGGUGUAAUAUCCACAGUCCACAGGCCAAUAAACCUAACAACAACAAACACUUAAAAGAACACCAUUAACCAGCCUCAUUUGCAGGAGCCUUGACUGAGGCUUUCUGUUUUGAUGACAGCGCCUCAGCAGAUCCUUCUAACAAUAAUGGCUCCUGAACACGAUAACCCGCUUGAUUGAUACACGCGAUAUAUUUUAAUAAGAGCCACAGCUCGCGGGGCCUCGUAGAUCAUGUUCAGCAUCACAUCACGUCUCAGCUGAAAAGUCCUCCACAGGCGCGCGAGUCUCCCCGAGUCUCUUUACAGCUCAGAUGCUAAAGUUGUCUUUGUAAACCAAGUCAGGAGAGGGUUGUUAACUGACUGUCGGUGCACGUGACGACGUGACAGCAGGGAGAGUGAACUGUAACAGGACUGAGGAGCAGCAGCAGCAGCAGUAGCGGCGGCAGCAGCAGCAGCGGCAGCAGCAGCAGCAGCAGCAAAACCACAAACGCCCUGAGACACAUUUCAUGGACAAGAGUCCAGCUGCUGUGACGACCCCACGUCCAUUUUUGUCCCUCCUUACUAUAGAGGAUAUAAAACCAAAUACUUUAUUAAAAAUCUACAUAAUUAAGUGUCACUCAUAUGACGUUAACACAGCUGGGCACGUGUCACAUGACUGAUAAUCAAUUAAUUACCUUUUUUUUGGACUGGACAUUGUAAUAAAUAAGCAUAUACUA